rnacentral:pre_miRNA from 1 species
NNNNUACUCCCGCCGUCCGGAAUUACUUGUCAUCAAAAUGGAUGUGUCUAGAACUAAAAUACAUCUAGAUACAUCCAUUUCAAUGACAAGUAUUUUCGGACGGAGGGAGUACAAG